rnacentral:rRNA from 1 species
GAUGAACGCUAGCUACAGGCUUAACACAUGCAAGUCGAGGGACCGGCGCACGGGUGAGUAACACGUAUCCACCCUGCCCUUUACUCGGGGAUAGCCUUUCGAAAGACAGAUUAAUACCCGAUAUAAAGGAUGGGGAUGCGUUCCAUUAGGUUGUUGGUGAGGUAACGGCUCACCAAGCCUUCGAUGGAUGGGGGUUCUGAGAGGAAGGGCCCCCUCAUUGGAACCGGGACACGGUCCAAAGUCCUACGGGAGACAGUAGUAAGGGAUGUUGGUGAAUGGGCGCUAGCCCGAACCAGCCAAGUCGCGUGAAGGAUGGAGGCUUAUGGAUCGUGAACUUCUUGUAUAUAAGAGUAGGUAUUAUAUGAAUAAGGAUCGGCUAACUCCGUGCCAGCCGCCGCGGUAAUUC